AUUGAACGCUGGCGGCAGGCUUAACACAUGCAAGUCGAGCGGGGGAGGUUGCUUCGGUAACUGACCUAGCGGCGGACGGGUGAGUAAUGCUUAGGAAUCUGCCUAUUAGUGGGGGACAACAUUCCGAAAGGAAUGCUAAUACCGCAUACGCCCUACGGGGGAAAGCAGGGGAUCUUCGGACCUUGCGCUAAUAGAUGAGCCUAAGUCGGAUUAGCUAGUUGGUGGGGUAAAGGCCUACCAAGGCGACGAUCUGUAGCGGGUCUGAGAGGAUGAUCCGCCACACUGGGACUGAGACACGGCCCAGACUCCUACGGGAGGCAGCAGUGGGGAAUAUUGGACAAUGGGCGCAAGCCUGAUCCAGCCAUGCCGCGUGUGUGAAGAAGGCCUUAUGGUUGUAAAGCACUUUAAGCGAGGAGGAGGCUACUUUAGAUAAUACCUAGAGAUAGUGGACGUUACUCGCAGAAUAAGCACCGGCUAACUCUGUGCCAGCCGCCGCCGUAAAAC
rnacentral:rRNA from 1 species